UCCUAGGGGCAUUGGAUAUUUCUCAUAGAUAUUGUUUCCGAUAGCUCAGCAUUUAAUUUUUUAUUGUAAAGUCAAUGCUAUUUGAUUUUAUAAAUGUGGUGAAGGCUAUGAUUGAUAUAUACCAAGCUGUAUGAUGUAUUUCCUGAGAUGGAAGGGAGGAGGCACAUUAACAUGUUUAAAAAGCAAAUAAAUAAAUGAUGUGUAAGUGAUAUUACUUAAAAAAAUGAAGGAGCAGAGUCAGGGAAAAAGAAAAUAAAGGCAGUUUGAAAUUCACACUAGUUGUUUUCGCCAGCUCUGCCUGCCCUCCCACAUCCUGUCAAGUGUUAUAGUCUCCUGUACAUGGAGACUGUGAAGACAAUGGGAAGCCACUAAAUGAGGAGGAGGAGGCUGAUGGGAUAUGAGGAAGCCUUAGAGCAAAGGCCACUUGCCAUUACUUUCCCUGAGCCAGCCAUGCAGUGCAGACUUCUCUGCUGUGUGGCCCUUUUUUUCUGGGGAGCAGGUUCCAUGGACACUAAGGUCACCCAGAGUCCUGGACAUCUGGUCAAAGGAAAAGAACAGAAAGCAAAGAUGGAUUGUGUCCCCGUAAAAACACAUAGUUAUGUUUAUUGGUAUCGCCAGAAGCUGGAAGGAGAGUUUGACUUUUUGGUUUACUUAGGCAAUGGAAAGAUUACGGAUAAAAUAGAAGGGUUUGAUCAGCAAUUCUCAGCUCAAUGCCCCCAAGAUGCAUCCUGCAGCCUGGAAAUCAAGUCCACUGAGCCAGGAGACUCUGCACUGUAUUUCUGUGCCAGCAGUGAAUCCACAGUGCUGAAUGUGAGCUUUUCUUAGCACACAAACUCAUCGUGGACCCAGCUCAGGAAAUAGUGGUGUGUUAGGUGAACAGGAA